rnacentral:lncRNA from 1 species
GGGUGGGAUAUGGCUGACCCAUAUGGAAGAGACAGGCUUGGUCUUGUUACAGGGAAAGUGGCCAGUUGGGAAAAUGUCAUGAAGAUCCAAUUAUCUGCAUUUCUUUUCUUUGUUUCAGGCACCUGGAGCAUGAGGUCAGCAUCAGAGAUCAUUAAAAAUGUUUAAUUAAUUUUAAUUGGUGGCCAUCUCCCCCAUCUCUCUUUUACUUCAUGGGCAUAUUGGGCAACCUUCCUCAUACUCCCUCAGGUUCUCCUAUUUUGCUUACAUUGGUUUAUUCCAGAUUUUUCUUUUGUUUGUAUUUUUUUAUUGGUUUUGAUCAGCUCCUUUUUUCUUCCUUUAAGGUGUAUAAUGAGGAGAAAAAAGCCACAACCAUUCAGGU